GACGAACGCUGGCGGCGUGCCUAAUACAUGCAAGUAGAACGCUGAAGGAGGAGCUUGCUCUUCUGGAUGAGUUGCGAACGGGUGAGUAACGCGUAGGUAACCUGCCUGGUAGCGGGGGAUAACUAUUGGAAACGAUAGCUAAUACCGCAUAACAGCAGAUGUUGCAUGACAUUUACUUAAAAGGUGCAAUUGCAUCACUACCAGAUGGACCUGCGUCGUAUUAGCUAGUUGGUGGGGUAACGGCUCACCAAGGCGACGAUACAUAGCCGACCUGAGAGGGGGAUCGGCCACACUGGGACUGAGACACGGCCCAGACUCCUACGGGAGGCAGCAGUAGGGAAUCUUCGGCAAUGGACGGAAGUCUGACCGAGCAACGCCGCGUGAGUGAAGAAGGUUUUCGGAUCGUAAAGCUCUGUUGUAAGAGAAGAACGAGUGUGAGAGUGGAAAGUUCACACUGUGACGGUAUCUUACCAGAAAGGGACGGCUAACUACGUG
rnacentral:rRNA from 1 species